AUACUUACAUCACGUAGGGGCUACCGUGAUCAUGAAGGCGGCUCCCCCAAAGAGUGGCUUGGUCAUUGCACCUUACGACUUUGUACACCUUGCCAAUAUUCCGAACGAGAAUAGUGGAUGCGUAUAAUUUUUGGUAGCCGGGAAUGGCCUUAGAUGCCGUCCCGA